GACAGAGGGUGCAAACGUUGUUCGGAAUUACUGGGCGUAAAGGGCGCGUAGGCGGCCUGUUAAGUCGAACGUGAAAUCCCCGGGCUCAACCCGGGAACUGCGUCCGAUACUGGCAGGCUUGAAUCCGGGAGAGGGAUGCGGAAUUCCAGGUGUAGCGGUGAAAUGCGUAGAUAUCGGGAGGAACACCCGUGGCGAAGGCGGCUUCCUGGGUCCAUCCUGACACUGAGGCGCGAAAGCGUGGGGAGCGAACGGG
rnacentral:rRNA from 1 species